rnacentral:rRNA from 1 species
GAUGAACGCUGGCGGCGUGCCUAAUACAUGCAAGUCGAGCGAACAGACGAGUAGCUUGCUCCUCUGACGUUAGCGGCGGACGGGUGAGUAACACGUGGAUAACCUACCUAUAAGACUGGGAUAACUUCGGGAAACCGGAGCUAAUACCGGAUAAUAUAUUGAACCGCAUGGUUCAAUAGUGAAAGACGGUUUUGCUGUCACUUAUAGAUGGAUCCGCGCCGCAUUAGCUAGUUGGUAAGGUAACGGCUUACCAAGGCGACGAUGCGUAGCCGACCUGAGAGGGUGAUCGGCCACACUGGAACUGAGACACGGUCCAGACUCCUACGGGAGGCAGCAGUGGGGAAUCUUCCGCAAUGGGCGAAAGCCUGACGGAGCAACGCCGCGUGAGUGAUGAAGGUCUUCGGAUCGUAAAACUCUGUUAUUAGGGAAGAACAAAUGUGUAAGUAACUAUGCACGUCUUGACGGUACCUAAUCAGAAAGCCACGGCUAACUACGUG